rnacentral:rRNA from 1 species
UACGGGGGGGGCAAGCGUUGUUCGGAAUUACUGGGCGUAAAGGGCGCGUAGGCGGAUCGUUAAGUCAGAGGUGAAAUCCCAGGGCUCAACCCUGGAACUGCCUUUGAUACUGGCGAUCUUGAGUAUGAGAGAGGUAUGUGGAACUCCGAGUGUAGAGGUGAAAUUCGUAGAUAUUCGGAAGAACACCAGUGGCGAAGGCGACAUACUGGCUCAUUACUGACGCUGAGGCGCGAAAGCGUGGGGAGCAAACAGG